rnacentral:rRNA from 1 species
GGGUGAGUAACGCGUGAGAAACCUGCCUUUUACAAAGGGAUAGCCUCGGGAAACUGGGAUUAAUACCUUAUGACACUUAAAUGUCGCAUGAGAUUUAAGUCAAAGCGUAAAGCGGUAAAAGAUGGUCUCGCGUCCCAUUAGUUAGUUGGUGAGGUAAAGGCUCACCAAGACAGCGAUGGGUAGCCGGCCUGAGAGGGUGAACGGCCACACUGGAACUGAGACACGGUCCAGACUCCUACGGGAGGCAGCAGUGGGGAAUAUUGCACAAUGGAGGAACUCUGAUGCAGCGACGCCGCGUGAACGAUGAAGGCUUUCGGG